GAGAGAGAUUUGGACCCAAGAGGAAGGGUUUGUCUACCAGACCCAGGAGACAGGGGUUUAGCUAGAAGGGUAGAGAAUGUGAGCCUAGGAUAGGCAAGGUAGGAAGAAGUCCAGGGGAGUGGCAAGAAGGUUUGUAGUUGCCCAGAUCUUUGCUGCUGCAGACAGGGUCCUUGGCCUGGAACCCAGUGUAUGGGGUGGACCUGGGUUCCCCAAUCAGUCACAGUGUGAGAAGCGCAGUCUGGGUAGUGAAAUAGGAGGCUGUCCGGGACUAUUUGUUCUUGCCACUGAAGGAGUGGCCCAAAUGUGGCAAUGGAGAUAAGGCCUGUCUGGGAUGGUGUGGAAGACUGUAAUAGUACCCUAGAAAGGGAGGACUCUAGUGGCUAAGCCAUGAAGAUGGGUGCGGCAGGUCCCCAGGAGCAAGAGAGUGGCUGCAAACCAAGAGAGGGAGACAACAGGCCGAAGAACUGCAAGAAGAGGGCAUUGGACUGAAAGAGCUAAUCCCCAGAGUGGCCAGGAGGCAGUACCACCUAUGAGCCCAUUUGUGUUCUCCCUGAUUUAACUACGCAUUUGGAUGAGUAGACACACUCCCAGGAAUAUCCAGAAGAGUGCAGAUGAACCGAAGAGCUUUAAGUCAACCACAUGCAUUCGAUAUUAGAGAAAAAGAAAAAGAGAAGGGACACAACAGACUGAGACAACACCAGGACAAUGACUGGAUCGGGAACCACUAAGAGCUGAUACCACUGGGGAUCAAAAUGGACGGGACAGCAAUGAAGACGACAACAAUGCAGGAGCGGGAUCAAGAUCGAUAUAAGGAGGAGACAUCUGGAGAUCAUGGUGUGCUUCUUCUGUUUAAUAGUACAUUACAACAGCAUGAGUUUCAGAGAAGUGCCAGGAGUUUCAGAGAAGUGCCCGGAGCUUCUCCGCAGUGAUGGGUGGUGUGAGUAAAUGGACCUAUGUGCUUAUAUUUAUAGAAGAGGAAAUGAAGACUCUCCUUUGACUUGUAAUCUGUUCUAGCUGUGGGGAGAAUAUCAUGCUGUAUUGUACCCUAUGCAACCCAGCUAUAUCGGGUGUUUUUUCACAGCCAUGCUAAGAGUUAAACACUCCAGGCUGAAAAGAAAGACAUCC